GACGAACGCUGGCGGCGUGCCUAACACAUGCAAGUGGAGCGACGAACCAGGCUUCGGCCUGGGGCAGAGCCGCGAACGGGUGAGUAACACGUGGGUAACCUGCCCUGAUGAUUGGGACAACCCGAGGAAACUCGGGCUAAUACCAAAUGUGCCCUCCGACCAUAAGGUCGCUGGGGAAAGGAAGCUUCGGCCUCCGCAUCGGGAUGGGCCCGCGGCCCAUUAGCUUGUUGGUGAGGUAANGGCUCACCAAGGCAACGAUGGGUAGCUGGUCUGAGAGGACGAUCAGCCACACUGGGACUGAGACACGGCCCAGACUCCUA
rnacentral:rRNA from 1 species